CACAUAUAAACUUGCAGCCAUGCUUCUCUCCUCCUCAUUCAAGCUGCUGUUUGCUGCUCAAAGCGGAGGGCCCUCUCUGGCUUGGAUUCUUUCUUUCAUUCUGUGCUCUGCUUCAUUCCUUUUCUCGACUUGUUUUUACUUCAGGAACCGCACUGGGACCAUCUACAAGGACCCCGAGGCUUCUUUUCUCUACACACCUUGGCAGUGGGCUACAAACAAGAUAUAAAUGGAAAGACUCGCUUUUUUUCCACACACACACAUAUAUAUAUAUUAAGUACUGCUAUGGAACAGAAACAAAGAGGUGCUUUUGAGGGUGUGCAGAAGAAGGAUAAUGGCGCGUGCAACAUUAAAAGCCGCGCACACUUCACCUCCACCAAGAGAAGAAACUUUGUGGCCGGAGCCUGGUGGGUCGCGUCGGAUGAGACUCCACCGACAGCAUGGUAGGUGCAGCACAAUAGGCCUCAUUCAAAGGCAGCGCUGCAUGUGACGGUGCUGCAAACGCUGAUGGAUAAUAAAGAGAGAGGGAGGAAGAGAGCGGGCAGCGGAUCGGCUGCAGUGACAGCUGCAUCAUGGAGAUCAGGAGGGAGGCAUCGCCCCCGGGCACGACAGCACCUACAUCCUCAGAGGAAGCUGUGAGACUCUUCUGCGUCCGACGCAGCCAUCUUCUGAAACCGGCCGUGCUGUCUUCAUCAGGACUCACACCGCCACCAGUGACGGUCCAGUACAAGAAAAUUGUAACCUGCUCCCGCUGGUGGUUGUGUUUCUCAGAACUCGCCUUCAGCUGGGAUUCCAAGUCGUGCUCUGCUGGGUGUUCAGCUAGCAUGGCUCUGAUACAAACAUCUGGUGUCUGCACCAAUCCCAGCUGAUCCUGGAUCUGCACUGACCUCAUUUUAUCCCGCAUUGUUAGUUCCUCUUUAAUCAGCUGAUCAGUUUCCUCAGACGAUCAAUCGUCUAUGUAAGCAAGAGACUUGUCUUCAUCACUGACUCAAACACUGAGCACGGAGUUAAAUCAGAAAGUCACAUUUCUUUUCAUUGAUGUUUUAAAAAUUAGACAUAAAAAUAAUAUUUGUUUCAAGGCUUACCCUUAUUCUUUUUUUUCGCCGACACAAGGAGAAGGUGAUCUUAUUAAAACUGAAGCAAAUAAUAACGAGAUGAAAAAAAAUAACACAAAUUAAAUGCACACGCAGUGCCAAAUAAUGAUAUUACAUUAUAAUUAUAUUUGCUUCUGCACAUUUAUCAUAUCUCUGAACAUAAAAAAACUAAAUCUUCACGAUUGCCUGCUGACGUUGUUAGCCUUUUUGUGAGCUUAGUUCAUUUGAAAAAACAAUAAAUUCAGAGCAUGAGCAACAUAUUUUAUGUCAGCUGUCUUUUUGUCUAAUGAUAUGAAAAUACACAAACAAUCACAGCUAAAACAUGGUUUGAUAGGAGAGCAGAGGACUUUUGUAGGCAAGCGAGAGUUGAGGGUGGGCAGUUCAACAAUUGACAAAUAAGGAACCGCUUUUGAAUUCAAAAUGUACGCCCUAAAUGUGAACAAAAUAUUCCACCGAUGAUUUCACAGAUAAUAGUGCAGCGGUCUGGUGAAGCAACCCAAACUGAAUAAUACUCGGGUGCUUACAUUCAAAAUCAUAGCUCUAUGUUUGUAUUUGUGUGCAGAUUGAUCAGAGGAGGACCGCACUAAUGCAAGAAAUUAUUUAAUUUUACCGCCUAGGGUGGACCUGUCACUGCCUCUAAAAACAAUUUGCCCAAGGUUGAAGAACUAUGAGUCACAAAAGGUACAAAUCAAAAGAGCUGAAAAUAAGCACUAUCUCUGGCUUCAGAUAUCCAUAAAUCUCAUUAACCUUAAGGCCAGUUUUCUUUUUUCAGACCAAAAACAUUUAAUGCUUGUCUUUCUCACAUUAAAAGGCAGAGCUCACGCUGCACACGCCUUGCAUUUUUAAUUCCUCAUGAUCACCCAGCGUGUGUCUGCCUGUACCUGAUACUGCAGGCUGUGGUUUGUGGGCCCGCUCUCCCUUCUCCUCUCGGCCUGACACAGGAUGCAGCAGUGGUCAACGUUUGUUUGCUUAAAGCUGCAGAACCGCAAGGUCAAAUUUCAGAGACGGCAGGGAAAAGGCUGGACACCAAGACACAGAAGAAGGGGAAGAAAACUGAGAAGGGAAGACGCCCCCACACGACACCUUUUCUCAGCAUCCCUCAGAGCCAGAGAUAUACACCGCGCGCACGCACGCACACACAAACUCACACACCUUUGUUUACUAAACUUUCCGCCUUUGAAAUAUUUAUUAGCGCUGGGAGUCUCUGUGCGCCUGUGUGUUUGUGUGUCCGUGUGUGUUGGUGUAUAUGUGUGUGUGUAAAGCAGCGGGAGGUUGCCAUCUAUCAGGGGAAACGGUGAUAACGGCGUGUGAGACUGGAGGGAACAAGAGAUUGUGUCAUACGCAUAUGACAUACAGUGAAAAAAUGAGCAUCAGCUCACAGACACCAGAUUCACAAAACUGUCCUCAGUGACGAGAUGAACAAGGAGGCCCCAAAGGUUACUGACCCACUUAAAGAGAACAUUUUCUCAGUGCUAUUUAUUUAACUCCUUAUUUGAUUUAGAUCAGGGCUCACCCAGGGACCAUGUGUGGUGCCCACGAGCCUGUUCUAAAAACAGCACAACACGGCAGUGAGCU